GUACCCAUCUUAUUUGGCCUCUAGAGAAUGUCACCUCACAAUGAUAUGAUAUUGGUUCCAUUGCACUUAGUUAAGUCAUUCCCACCAAGCUUAGUUCAUGAAGGGUUUCAAGAAUAGCCUCACGAUGAUACGAUAUUGGCCAUCCUCGUUGCCUACACUCACCUCAUCAUAUGUAUAUAGACUCCUCCUGAGUAUAAGCAUGCACUUUGUACUUCCCCAUGAUAGGGUGAAGCCGGUGUACAAGUCAUAAACGAUUGGAACUACCAUGGUGGAAGGCCACGAAAGAAUGUUCUAAGCACUCUCACGCU
rnacentral:lncRNA from 1 species